UUCCGGUUGAUCCUGCCGGAGGACAUUGCUAUUGGGAUUCGAUUUAGCCAUGCUAGUCGAACGAGUUCACACUCGUGGCACAUAGCUCAGUAACACGUGGCCAAGCUACCCUUCAGUCAGCAAUACCCUCGGGAAACUGAGGCUAAUAGCCGAUACGAAACAGACGCUGGAAUGCACUGUACUCCAAAGACACCGCUGAAGGAUGCGGCUGCGGCCGAUUAGGUAGACGGUGGGGUAACGGCCCACCGUGCCAGUAAUCGGUACGGGUGGUGAGAGUCAGAGCCCGGAGACGGAGUCUGAGACAAGAUUCCGGGCCCUACGGGGCGCAGCAGGCGCGAAACCUUUACACUGCACGAAAGUGCGAUAGGGGAAUCCCAAGUGCGAGGGCAUAUUAGCCCUCGCUUUUGUUGACUCUAAGGCGGUCAACGAAUAAGAGCUGGGCAAGACCGGUGCCAGCCGCCGCGGUAAUACCGGCAGCUCAAGUGAUGUCCCAUAUUAUUGGGCCUAAAGCGUCCGUAGCUGGCCGACCAAGUCUAUCGGGAAAUCCACCUGCCCAACAGGUGAGCGUCCGGUAGAAACUGGCCGGCUUGGAACCGGAAGGCUCAGAGAGUACGUCCGGGGUAGGAGUGAAAUCCCGUAAUCCCGGACGGACUACCGAUGGCGAAAGCACUCUGAGAAGACGGCUUCGACAGUGAGGGACGAAAGCUCGGGUCUCAAACCGGAUUAGAUACCCGGGUAGUC
rnacentral:rRNA from 1 species